CAGCCAUACUGCCGAAAAGGCAGUCGUUCAAGCUGUCCUCUGCGGCACAGGAAACGCCUACGCCCCUAGUAUUGGCCUCUCGGUUGCGAAACGUGCUGUGGCGGAUUAUUUAAACCGAGAUCUUGACAACAAGCUAACGGGAGAUGAUGUAUAUAUGACUGUUGGGUGCAAACAAGCAAUCGAGCUUGCGGUCAAAAUCCUGGCUAAGCCAACAGCCAACAUCUUGCUUCCCAGGCCUGGCUUUCCAUGGGACAUAGUCCACUCUAUUUACAAACAUCUUGAGGUUCGAAGG